AUCUAAUACAUCAUAUUAGGGGAUAUUAUUAAUUUGUUUGUGUGUAUAUAUACACACACGUAUCAUGUAUGUUAAAGAGAGAAAAAUAUAGAAGAACAAGGAUGAAAAAUACACAACAAGCUUUGAUUCUAUUCAUCAUCUUUUUCCUCCUAUUAUCCGGGAUGAGGUCCAGGACAAUGGCGGUUGGAACUAGCGGUCUACGACGACCUUGUGAUAACGGUUAUCAUUGUACACCAUGGUGCGGAGAUUGUGGGUAUUGUGGUUGUGUCAAUGGUGAAUGUGUUAGUGAUAAUUGUCCUCCAGCAUCAAGAACUCGUAAAGUAAAGGAUAGCGGUUUUGAAGGAUAAUGUAUGUGGUGAAGAGGCGUUUGUUGAUUAUUAUAUUCUAAAGUUAUGCGAUCGUCAAAUCGAUUCGUAUAUGAAAAAGAAAAUUAAGGUUCUAGAUGACUGCUAUGUUUUUUUGUUCUUUUAAUAAAAAAAUUUCCACACUUUCAAUAAACCAAAUGUGUGUAUGAUUCAUGAAAUGUUUAUGAACUAAAAUUGAAAUUUACGUAGGAA